rnacentral:rRNA from 1 species
AUACGGAGGGUGCAAGCGUUGUUCGGAAUUAUUGGGCGUAAAGAGCAUGUAGGCGGACUAUUAAGUCUGGUGUGAAAGCCCGGGGCUCAACCCCGGAAGUGCAUUGGAUACUGGUAGUCUUGAGUAUGGGAGAGGAAAGUGGAAUUCCGAGUGUAGGAGUGAAAUCCGUAGAUAUUCGGAGGAACACCAGUGGCGAAGGCGACUUUCUGGACCAAUACUGACGCUGAGAUGCGAAAGCGUGGGGAGCGAACAGGAUUAGAAACCCCAGUAGUCC